rnacentral:rRNA from 1 species
GCCGCGUGUGCGAAGAAGGCCUUCGGGUUGUAAAGCACUUUUCGGGAGGAAGAGGAAGGACUGUGCUCCCGGAAUAAGUCUCGGCUAACUACGUGCCAGCAGCCGCGGUAAUACGUAGGAGGCAAACGUUAUCCGGAUUUACUGGGCGUAAAGCGCGUGCAGGCGGUUUGAUAAGUUGGAUGUGAAAGCUCCCGGCUCAACUGGGAGAGGUCAUUCAAUACUGUCAGACUUGAGGAUGGUAGAGGGAGGUGGAAUUCCGGGUGUAGUGGUGAAAUGCGCAGAUAUCCGGAGGAACACCAGUGGCGAAAGCGGCCUCCUGGACCAUUCCUGACGCUCAGACGCGAAAGCUAGGGUAGCAAACGGGAUUAGAGACCCCGGUAGUCCUAGCUGUAAACGAUGUGAACUUGGCGUCGGUGGGAUUAAAUCCAUCGGUGUCGAAGCUAACGCGAUAAGUUCACCGCCUGAGGACUACGGCCGCAAGGUUAAAACUCAAAGGAAUU